rnacentral:lncRNA from 1 species
CUUAUCAACCUCAUCCCAAUCUUUUUCGGGUUUGGCUGAUUCCACACCAUCAAUAAUUUUAGUGGGUGUGUGAGGGUCGUUUACUAUGAUACCCCACAUAUCAUAGUCGAGUGCUUGAAUGAAGAUUUUCAUCCGAGCUUUCCAAUAGGUAUAGUUGGACCCAUUGAAAAGUGAAGGUCGGUUAGUGGACUGCCCCUCG